rnacentral:rRNA from 1 species
UACGGAGGGGGCUAGCGUUGUUCGGAUUUACUGGGCGUAAAGCGCACGUAGGCGGAUCGUUAAGUGAGGGGUGAAAUCCCAGGGCUCAACCCUGGAACUGCCUUUCAUACUGGCGAUCUAGAGUCCGGAAGAGGUGAGUGGAACUCCUAGUGUAGAGGUGGAAUUCGUAGAUAUUAGGAAGAACACCAGUGGCGAAAGGCGGCUCACUGGAUCCGGUACUGACGCUGAGGUGCGAAAGCGUGGGGAGCAAACAGGAUUGAGAU